ensembl:lncRNA
UCUCGACCAAUAGAUGGCGGUGGGUUGAGUGGACACAUAAAGACAACCAAAGAAGAAGAAGAAGAAGUAGAAGAAGAAGAAGGUUGCCGUCAGAAGAGCUCCGUUGCCGUGGAGACCACACUGAUGGCGAACAAGACGAAGAUCCAAGCUUCGGGACAGACGUCUUCUGACGAAGAACCCUUGAAUCCUAACGGCCACCGGCCGAGCCAGAAAGCAAAGAGGAGGGGCCCUGCAGAGAAGCAGCGGCGUCUUAGAGAUAAAAGGCGGGGCAACAAGGAGAAGAAGCAGGAGGGCGUUACGGUGAAGAGGAUGUACAGCGACGGGAAGCGGCGCUGGGAUAAGAAACAUUACUGCGUGUUCUGCCGGCAGCCACAGGUGAAGAUAGCUCGGCACCUGCUCACCAAACACGGCGACCAACAGGAAGUGGCGGCCGCCGGCAAGCUGCCGACCGGCUCCAAACAGCGCCACUUUCUGCUGGAGCAUCUACGCUGCAGGGGAAACUACAUGCACAACAUCGAGGUGAUCCGACAGGGCACCGGAGAGAUUGUCCCGUGGCGUCAGCCCUCAGAGGACGUUGAUGCCAGGAACUAUCUUCCCUGCCCGCUUUGCCUUGGUUUUUUCCUACGUGCUGAUCUCUGGAAACAUCAAGCUUCCUGUCGCAAGAAGAUGACCUCUGAGCCCCCAAAAGAGUUCACAACUAAGUUUACCUCUGACCUGACGAAGGACACAAACUCUGACUCCGCAGGAGACACAACUACCAAGGGCCAGACAUCUGACCCCACAGUGAAUCAAAACGAGACCUCUCACCCAGAGGCGGACCAGCCCAGGAAGCGCAACAGGGUCCAGGCCGCAGCAUCCCGCCUCCUCCCGAUUUCCAGCGGAGCAUCGGAGAGCUGCAGCGAAGUCCUGCACCGCAUGAACCAGGACCACGUCUCACACCAGGUCAAAUCUGAUUGGUUGAUUUGUAAAUACGGAAACAAGUUGAUGGGAAAUCAAGAUGGCAGCCAGAGGAGGUACGACUACGUCAGUCAGAAGCUGAGGGAGCUCGGCCGGUUCCUUCUAGCCGCUAAGUCUCUAGAUUCUGGGGUCCAGAACCUGCAGGACCUCCUUGCGCCGGGCCGCCUCGCCCUGUCUCUGUCCGCCGCUAGGAAGGCGGCCGGCUACCGGUGGAGUCGCCCGCCACUGGCGGUGAAAACCACGCUGAAAACUCUCUGUGAGAUUGCGAUCGGAGAGACUCUCCAGGACGGAGACGUGGAGGCCGCGGCCAAGACCACUGACUUCUACCACGUGCUGGGGAGGGAGUGGGACCAGCUGGGGCUGCAGAGCCCCGACUCCAACACAGACGAAGCGGUCCGAGCCAAGCUGAAGAAACGAUUGGUCCCAUCUAGAGGUGGGAAGUGUAAAGACCCCGCUGACCUCAGACCAGAGGUUUUGUCUCCAAGCAGACCCAGAACGUCGACCUACAUGAGUUCACGGGAGUCCAGGCUGCAGACCCCUGCUGUCCCUGUGGCUCCUGGAAAGGUCCAACGUCGACCCUGGUCUUCUGCUGAGAAGGAGGCGGUCUGGAGACAGCUGGGAGUCUACGUGCUGGUCCAGUCGGUUCCGGGGAAGGAAGUCUGCCAGCGCUGUCUAGACCUGGAGCCUGACCUCAGAGGGCGACACUGGAAAGACGUCAAGAACCAAGUCCACAACCAGAUCCAGAGCCAGAAGAAGCAGCAGUUCCAUACCCAGAUGGACCUUCAGGAGAACCAGGGGGAGCAGAGCCAGAACCAAAAUAAGCAGCAACAGUACCAGGACCACACCAACAAUCCGAAGAAGCAGCAGCAGUACCAGGGCCAGUUUGACAAUCAGGACCACCUUCAGACCCACAAGAAACAGCUGCACCACAUGGGCGAGCAGACUGACCUGGACCGCGACACUUCUGUUCUGACGGUUGUAGCUUAUGGACCUGACGGUCCACACCAAGGACUGCUGGACCCCCCUGUGAGUCCGUACCUCCAGCUGCUGGACGGGUCAGUCCAGUACCACACUGUCAGCAGACAUACGGACCAGAACAUGCUACAGGAGGUUCCACCAGGACAACCCCACAAUGCACACUCCGGACUGGUCUACUUCUGAUGGACCGGUCCACUUAGGAACCACAAG